rnacentral:rRNA from 1 species
GAGACUCUGUGCGCGUGCAUAUCAAUAAGCGGAGGAAAAGAAACUAACUAGGAUUCCCUCAGUAACGGCGAGUGAAGCGGGAAGAGCUCAAAUUUGAAAUCUUCAAGGUAUCUACCUUGACGAAUUGUAGUUUAAAGAAGUGUUUUCUGUUGAAGUUUUGGUAAAAGUUCUUUGGAAUAGGACAUCAUAGAGGGUGAGAAUCCCGUAUUUGACCAUUAUUUCCAGCUGUGUGAUACACUUUCAAAGAGUCGGAUUGUUUGGGAAUGCAGUCCAAAAUGGGUGGUAAAUUUCAUCUAAAGCUAAAUACUGGCGAGAGACCGAUAGCGAACAAGUACCGUGAGGGAAAGAUGAAAAGAACUUUGAAAAGAGAGUUAAACAGUACGUGAAAUUGUCAAAAGGGAAGCGUUUGACACCAGUGUUGUUUUCUCGAAAAUCAAUUAAAAAUGGUGGGAUGUUGUGUUGUAUUGACUUUAUCAGCUUUCUGCACUUUUUUUCCUAUCUUUUUUAAUGCACUUUUCGUUUAACAAGUCAACAUCAACUUCUUUUGUUGUAAAAGAGUCAUUGGAAGGUGGCUUUCUUUUCGGAGAAAGUGUUUAUAGCCUUUGGCUUCUGCAAUCGGAGAGAUUGAGGUCUGCAGCGUAGAUCCUUCGGGGUUAGAUACAUUUGUGCUAAGUUAUAGCCUUUCAUAGACAACUUGUUGACUAUGAUCAGUCAUGUAGCUUACUCGCUUAUGCUAUUUUACCUACGCUUAGGAUGUUGAGUCGUAGAGCACGCAG